rnacentral:rRNA from 1 species
GUUGAACGCUGGCGGCAGGCCUAACACAUGCAAGUCGAGCGAGCGGAGGACGGGUGAGUAAUGUAUGGGGACUGCCCGAUAGAGGGGGAUAAAUACUGGAAACGGUGGCUAAUACCGCACACUGUCGGAUAACCCAUAUGGGAUUAGCUAGUAGGUAAGGUAAUGGCUUACCUAGGCGACGAUCCCUAGCUGGUCUGAGAGGAUGAUCAGCCACACUGGGACUGAGACACGGCCCAGACUCCUACGGAGGCAGCAGUGGGGAAUAUUGCACAAUGGGCGCAAGCCUGAUGCAGCCAUGCCGCGUGUAUGAAGAAGGCCCUAGGGUUGUAAAGUACUUUCAGUCGGGAGGCGUUACCGACAGAAGAAGCACCGGCUAACUCCGUGCCAGCAGCCGCGGUAAUAC